rnacentral:rRNA from 1 species
CGGACCUAGCGGCGGACGGGUGAGUAAUGCUUAGGAAUCUGCCUAUUAGUGGGGGACAACAUCUCGAAAGGGAUGCUAAUACCGCAUACGUCCUACGGGAGAAAGCAGGGGAUCUUCGGACCUUGCGCUAAUAGAUGAGCCUAAGUCGGAUUAGCUAGUUGGUGGGGUAAAGGCCUACCAAGGCAACGAUCUGUAGCGGGUCUGAGAGGAUGAUCCGCCACACUGGGACUGAGACACGGCCCAGACUCCUACGGGAGGCAGCAGUGGGGAAUAUUGGACAAUGGGGGGAACCCUGAUCCAGCCAUGCCGCGUGUGUGAAGAAGGCCUUAUGGUUGUAAAGCACUUUAAGCGAGGAGGAGGCUACUUUAGUUAAUACCUAGAGAUAGUGGACGUUACUCGCAGAAUAAGCACCGGCUAACUCUGUGCCAGCAGCCGCGGUAAUACAGAGGGUGCGAGCGUUAAUCGGAUUUACUGGGCGUAAAGCGUGCGUAGGCGGCUUAUUAAGUCGGAUGUGAAAUCCCCGAGCUUAACUUGGGAAUUGCAUUCGAUACUGGUGAGCUAGAGUAUGGGAGAGGAUGGUAGAAUUCCAGGUGUAGCGGUGAAAUGCGUAGAGAUCUGGAGGAAUACCGAUGGCGAAGGCAGCCAUCUGGCCUAAUACUGACGCUGAGGUACGAAAGCAUGGGGAGCAAACAGGAUUAGAUACCCUGGUAGUCCAUGCCGUAGACGAUGUCUACUAGCCGUUGGGGCCUUUGAGGCUUUAGUGGCGCAGCUAACGCGAUAAGUAGACCGCCUGGGGAGUACGGUCGCAAGACUAAAACUCAAAUGAAUUGACGGGGGCCCGCACAAGCGGUGGAGCAUGUGGUUUAAUUCGAUGCAACGCGAAGAACCUUACCUGGCCUUGACAUACUAGAAACUUUCCAGAGAUGGAUUGGUGCCUUCGGGAAUCUAGAUACAGGUGCUGCAUGGCUGUCGUCAGCUCGUGUCGUGAGAUGUUGGGUUAAGUCCCGCAACGAGCGCAACCCUUUUCCUUACUUGCCAGCAUUUCGGAUGGGAACUUUAAGGAUACUGCCAGUGACAAACUGGAGGAAGGCGGGGACGACGUCAAGUCAUCAUGGCCCUUACGGCCAGGGCUACACACGUGCUACAAUGGUCGGUACAAAGGGUUGCUACACAGCGAUGUGAUGCUCAAUCUCAAAAAGCCGAUCGUAGUCCGGAUUGGAGUCUGCAACUCGACUCCA